UAACCUGACGUUUAACUGUAUUUGGUACGCGUGCGGAAAGGAAACUAUCUCCAGCUCGCGGUACGUCGACAAGGAAGUAAUAUUUCCGACGACGUUACUGGGGCGUGCUAAGUUUUGUUACAAGAUACCACCGUCAGUGUUUUAAAUGUAGACAUUAGUCAGUUAAUGUUUAUCGGUCAAAGACGGAGGUUAGGAACGCGAGGAUGUCGGACGCGAGAGAUCUUAAUUGGACCAUAAUUCAUCGGCAGUCUUUCUUGCGGCCAGGUAAUGCCGUGCCGUUCUUUUUCCGGUCGUAUUCUUGUUCUUCUCGCUUCCUUACGCAUGCAGAUGCGUGUUCGCCGAUGAUUCUGCGAUACGCGGAACUUUGCGUGACGCAGUUCCAGCAGAAUUGGAUUUAUACUGAAAGAGAAAAAACACGAAAUAAUAAACAGGAACGCCGAUGAGGAUAUCCGACGUGGAAUAAACAAUAAACUAUCUAUUGCAUUGUGCGUAUCCGAAACGCUCCUCGGAAUUCCAUUUCCCAGAGGAGGGUGAGAUGGUGCUGAAAGGACACCUCCUUGUCAAAUCCGGCCAAAACUCAUGAGAGGAGAAUUGAUGGUGUCGCGAACGUGGCUAGAAUCCUGUUUGCAGUACCUACACGGACGUUUCCUGCCGACUCUUCCGGCCGCGCGUUUAACGGCUGUACAAAAACCAACGCGCGCCUGUUUUGUCCCCUUCCUGUCCGUUCGUUUUCGUGACCGGGCGCCGAUUGGCGAGGUUGCAGCUUCCGUCGAGGUGUCGGGCAGGAGGCGACGGUGCCAGGGGAGAAGAAAUUCCUGGUAACUUUCCCUCCUACGCAUGAACGGCCGCGAGGGGCGAGGAGAGAGGCGGGAUGAGUCGCUAGCGAUGGGAUCAACCGGGAUUUUUCUUUAACUACGAUUGAAGCAUUGAUAAUGUUACCUCAUGUUCUUUCUUCAUGUGAUGGUUACAUCGUAUUUCAGGUGGAGAUUGCGUCGCUCGAAAUGCGUCACUCACCUCUUUCGACUGCGACAAAUAGCACGCCCGACUCGAGGCCGCAUACUUUCCGCGAAACUUUAGUACGGAGAUACCAAGCGUACUCGCAAACGUGUCGCAAUAAAUUUACAGGAUUGUUCCAAUCUUUCGCUUAAGGUUUUCAGUCAAAAUUAAUCAUAAAAAUUGAAAAUCGUCUCACGUAAAAAAUUACUAUGAAAAUAGGGUAAAAAAUCAUUGAAGUCAUUAGUUCACAUUUUGAAGUGUUAAUGAAAUGAUAUGUUUGGAAUUUAAAGUGGAUGCUAAUCUUUAUUGUAUUCUUAAGUAUCCUUAUUGUAUCCUUUCAGAUGCUUGUUGAUGAUCUUCAGAAGAUGUGUAUGUGUGAAUACAAGAAUGUGAAUACACAGUCGGAAACUAUAUUUAUCUCAAUAUGCUACUUUAGCCUCAUCUUGAUCUACCUGAAAUGAGGUCAUAAAUCAGAAACCCUGCAAUGACCCUAAUCGCAGUCUUCGGUGGAGUUCAUAUUUCAAGAAAGUAGCAGCAUGCCAUAAAUUCCUCUUCGUCUCGCGUCUCGUCAAGCUUCGCCUUCUUUUGUUGCGAUUUCUUCUUCGUUCUUAAAUUAUCGUCGAAAAUGUUCAACGACGUGCAAUUUGGUUUUACAGCAACGCGACAACUGAGAAUUGGAUCGGGCCCAUCGCUACAGAGCCCGCUCGACAAGCCUUUCUAAUCCGUUGGAGCGAGUUGAUGUUUUCGCGCCAGCUAGUAGACGUUAACGGACGUGCUGCCUAGCGGAAGGGGCAAGGACGGCCGAGGCCGACCGAGGCUGCAUCGGGGAGGAAGUCGGGGUCCGGGGAGGAAGAAAGAAAGAAAGAAAGAGAGGAGACCACCGAUCGGGGCGGACUAAACAGCAACGACCGCGCGCGCCCACGUGCGUGUGAGUCGCACCGCGCGUGGUACGAAGGCUCGGCGGCGGGUCGGUGUGUGCGUGGUUGCGCGCGAUGCCACCGACACCGGAUCUCGAGGAGUCGUGCGAGUUAGGAGCAACGUGGGAUUUUGUGAUGGAACGCGUGUGUGCAUUGCGAUGGAAUUUCGUCCUCUCGAUGCGAGAGAGAGACUGCACCGGACGAGACAUUUUCAUUCGAUGAAAUACAUUGUAAAUUAGCGUCUUAUAAAAUCGAUAAAUUCAGUUUAAAUUUUUUAAAUUUAACAACUGGUUCUUUAAAUUAUUUUACGAAAAAGAUGCAGUGUCCUUAGAGAAUUCAAUAUCCGUCGAUCAGCGAAAAUGUAAAUUGGACGAAAAAGUCUUCGAGCGCUUUCAGACUUCGGUAGGAUUUGAAAUGGAAUUCAAAUGGCUCGACACGCCGUCCGAAUCAUCGGUGCAAUAAACGUCGGCAAGAAUGGCGAGAACGAGCA